UCCUGUAUAAUUUAUGUGUAUUUGAGCAGGUAAAGUUUUUAUAUAAAAUUUAGAUAGAUUUAAACACGAAUGAAAACGCUUAAUAGAAGAUUCCACCUAUUGACUAAAUUUUUUAGCUCGGCAAGAAGAACAAAAUCCAUCACAAUCCAAUUCUAUGAGUUGUUUCAAAAGACUAAUGAAGCUACAUUUUCUAAAAUAAGUAUGUAAAUAGUUUUGUAUGUUUGUUAUUUAUUUAAUGUUUGUUAAUUGUCUAAAUAAUAAUCACGUAAAUAGUUUGUAUUAUGUAUAUGUAUUGGUCUUAUUCUUACACGUCCCCUAUGGAAACCAUCAAAAGAUGUUAGGGCUAACGUGUUUAAAUAAAUUUUUAUGUAUGUAUGUAUAUAUAUGUAUCACCGCAGCCUAGAAAAGCAUGUUUUUUAAAAUAAGUAAAAUUGCAAAG